rnacentral:misc_RNA from 1 species
GGAAGUAAAGGUCGUAACAAGGUUUCCGUAGGUGAACCUGCGGAAGGAUCAUUAACGAGUUAGGGUCUUCCAGGCCCGACCUCCCAACCCUAUGUUUAUUGAACCUCUGUUGCUUCGGCGGACCCGCCUCACGGCCGCCGGAGGACCGCUGCAAGGCGUCCUCUGGCCAGCGUCCGCCGAGGGCCAACCACUUAAACUCUGAAUGAAUCGUGUCAUAUGUCUAAGUCUAUGAUUAAAUUAAAGCAAAACUUUCAACAACGGAUCUCUUGGUUCUG